CGCGCCUGCGCAGUGGCUGGCUGCGCCCUUGCGCUUCCGUCGCCGCGCCAGCUCGGUGGUGCGGGGAUUCCCAGCGCGGGCUCAGCCCCUGGCCGGCCCCGCCCUUGGCUCCGUGCAGCCGGCUCCGGGCCCCUGCGCCGCUCACGCGCACGCGCACCGUGAUCCUCCAGCGUCUGCGGGAGUCUUCGGCGCCGAGGCUCCGAGCAGGUCUUCCGAAGGGUGUCCCGUGGGGCGUCCGGAUGCCGAGCGGCGAGCAAGGGGUGGCUACGGCCCACUCCGAGCCCGUGGCAAGGCGUUUGCAGGCGAAAAGCCAUCUGCCUCUUAAUUUGUGGAUCUCCUUUCAGAAUUUUUUUUCUAAAGGACUUUGAAAUUAUUGUCGGCUUGUCACCGAAGCGUAAACCUCCUGCCUGGAGAUCGGCCUUCUGAGCUUUACAGGUGUUCUCUGUUUAGUUCUUUCUUCCAUUCUAGGUGGGCCCAGCAGGUCUUACUUUCCCAGUUUAGCCGAUUUGGAAACCUCGGCCCAGGGAGGGGAGUUCACACUCCACCCCCGGAUCUAGGGCAGAGUCUAAAACCCGAUUCUCUUCCACGGAAUCCUUCUUUCGGCCCCCGUCGCCCACAGGAUAAAGUACGGGCUCGUCGCGCUCGCGUUGGAGGUCCUCCGUGUUGUGACUAACCUGCAUUGCGAUUGCCUUUAACCAGUCCUACUCUUAUCCAGAAAGCGUCUUUCCCGCCCCAUCUCCUCUUUCCGUCAAUACCCCUUACAACUUCCCGUACCAUUUUUUCUCUCAUUCAAUGGCUGCUUGGUUUCUUGGUACAUUUUAUGGAUCCCACUCCCUGCCUGCCUGUUCCAGACCACAACAGUUGAAAUGCGAGAGAUGGAAGCGGCACCCACCGGGCCCAAAGGCUGGCUUGUUCACAUCUCUUCUACGACUGGCAGCAACGGCAGUCAUCCCGCGGGCACCCGCUGAAAGGAGACUAGCUCCUUUCAUCUCCAGAAGGUCAAACAUCUCAUAAAGCGCUUUUGCAUGUUUGGAGAAAACAGAAGUAACCGAACCUGUCACAAUGCAAGCCUCAAUACCGCAGGAAGGAAACCACACACCGUGAGCCGUGUGGUGUACAGGUGUGCAGGGCAUCAGCAGCCAGCUGUGAGGCCCAGGCCCUGCGCUGGCCUCUGGAGUCGGCCUGACUGAAUUUGGGCCCACUUGGGGUGACACAUCUGGAAAGGGAAACCCCAGCAGCGAAGGGCAGUCAGCAGCGUCCACCAAGAAGGGGACAGGCACCCCUUGGAACAGUGCCUGGACCCCUCUGCGGGCGGAGUGGCACCCCUGCCGGAAACCUGCUGCAGUGCCCCAGCAGGCGACAAGCAGGAAGAGCGCUGCAAGAGGAACCCUCCUGACCUGAUCUGGGCUGCCUUCAAGGCCUUGGUGGGCACCCAGCACUGGCCACUUCUCCCACUGCAGCUGCCCUGGCUCUUCUGAGUGCCAGUGCUUGGGCAUCUGGACUGGUGUGGACGUGGGUGCCUCCGGCAAAGUCUCUCAUUCAGGUUCAGGCUCAGUGUGUGCACCCUACGCAGACUUCACAUGGAACUGAUCAGCUGUGCUGGGCUG
rnacentral:lncRNA from 1 species